UGGCGCCCUACGAGUUAAAAUAGCUAAAAUCUCCCAUUUGGUUUUAAAGACACACAUAUAUAUAAUUGAGCGCAUUUACAACAUAUUAAGGCCUACAUGUCUUAACAGGCAGGGUUCCCUUUAAACUUGAAGGACGUUUUAAAAUGUGGACGUUACGUUACACCCGCUGAGUACCAGAUGGAGACAUUUACCAAUUAGGACCGCAGCUUGGGCCAGUGACGUAUACAUUAGUUCAUCUGCUUGCCGAACUGAAGCAUGAUCAGCGUCGGAGCUGAAUGUGGACUUGCUUGACACAAACUAGCAGCUAGAAUGUAAAAAAACGCAUUGGCCUACCAAAAUGUACAGGCAAGACAACCACAGCGUGCAUAGUCGCAUACAAGCAAAGGAUCCCUUCAUCACCAUAAUGGACACACCUGAAGCAAUUGCACCUGGUUUGUUCAGAGGAUCUCCCGAAUUUAUGAGGAUUGCUGGCCUGAAAGAUGAGAGAAUUUCGCUGAAAAGCUACAGUUGCGUUCAGGUGUAGUGUCUCUGCUCUGCACCAGAUUGAAUCGGACAGAAUGUCAGUGGAUAGUAAAGGUAUGAACACUUUUAA